UACAUGGGGUGCAAACGUUGCUCGGAAUUACUGGGCGUAAAGCGCGUGUAGGCGGCUAUGUAAGUCGGGCGUGAAAUCCCACGGCUCAACCGUGGAAGUGCACCCGAAACUGCGUAGCUAGAGUCCUGGAGAGGAAGGUGGAAUGCUUGGUGUAGAGGUGAAAUUCGUAGAUAUCAAGCGGAACACCGGUGGCGAAGGCGGCCUUCUGGACAGUGACUGACGCUGAGACGCGAAAGCGUGGGGAGCAAACAGG
rnacentral:rRNA from 1 species